rnacentral:rRNA from 1 species
AGUGAACGCUGGCGGUAGGCCUAACACAUGCAAGUCGAACGGCAGCACAGUAAGAGCUUGCUCUUACGGGUGGCGAGUGGCGGACGGGUGAGGAAUAAAUCGGAAUCUACUUUUUCGUGGGGGAUAACGUAGGGAAACUUACGCUAAUACCGCAUACGACCUACGGGUGAAAGCAGGGGAUCUUCGGACCUUGCGCGAUUGAAUGAGCCGAUGUCGGAUUAGCUAGUUGGCGGGGUAAAGGCCCACCAAGGCGACGAUCCGUAGCUGGUCUGAGAGGAUGAUCAGCCACACUGGAACGAGGACACGGUCCGGACUCCUACGGGAGGCAGCAGAGGGGAAUAUUGGACAAUGGGCGCAAGCCUGAUCCAGCCAUACCGCGUGGGUGAAGAAGGCCUUCGGGUUGUAAAGCCCUUUUGUUGGGAAAGAAAAGCAGCAGGUUAAUACCCCGCUGUUCUGACGGUACCCAAAGAAUAAGCACCGGCUAACUUCGUG